UAGCGUAUCUAGUCUUUGUAUAUCUAUGGUCGGCAUGUCUGGUAGCAUCUCUGGCUGCUGUUGACCUUGUUUUUGGAGUAAAACACGGUGGAAGCUGAAUUAGUGAGGAUGACUCCUGCUCCUGUCAUCUCUAAACUCCUCACACAUCUUUACCUGCACAUGAGGAAAAUCACUCCUGUAGAAUGCAGAUGUUCAGAGGGAGAUGAUGCCACAUCUGGUCCAGCUGAUGGAAGGUCUUGAAGUUCUCUGACUGGCCUCGACUGAAGAUGGUCCUCUCACUGGAUUUAAGGUUCAGAUGCUCAGUAACAAACUCCACCAAUGUGCCAACAGGGAAGCUUUAGGUUUAUUAAAUGUUGCUAUGAAGGUAUCGCUGUUUUUCUUUGUGAAUGCAAUGUGCUCCAACUGAAACUUGAAUUAGAACUUAGAAGUAAAUCCUUCCAUCUGAAAGGAUUUAGUUGCAUUAAUGACCUCAUAACAUUCUAAUUUUUAUUCCAGUCUUGGCUGGAAAUAGAAUCUCUGUAUUGAUUCAGGUAAAAACUGAACUUCACAGCAUGUUGAAGCAAAACAACCAGAUGAAAACUGUGAUGGUGUUGGAUUGUCAGACCGUAAUGUUGCAGCUCAAAGCAGCUUUUCUAUCUCAGUUCAUUCUGACAUUCAGCUAUGAAUCAACACAGCAGAUGGUGAUCCAUGCUGUGGAAGUCUCACAUCUCCUGAUUUAAUGGAGCUGCUUUGCACUUUUUACACUGUUUAUUCACCAACACUUUAUUUAAUAAAAGUCCCAUCUAGUUUUCCUGAGGAAUGUGGUGUUUUAAUUUCUCUGUGAAUAACUGCAGUCUAAUGCAACAGCUGGAGUUGUAACAUCUGUCCUGAUAUUGAUCAUGAAGUAUUGAUCAGAAUACUUAUGGUUAGCAGUCAUCCCUGAAGUUUUACAUUAAAAUCUUUACUUGUGUUCUGAACUUUGGUAAGAAGCAGAAACUUUAGCGUUGCCAUGGAUACAUGAGUGUUAAAUUCUGUCCAUGUUUCAUUUUGGGAUGCAGUCCAGCAGAUGAGUUUGUUUUUACUGACAGCUACCAUUCAGUCUGAGACAUUAAGAAUAAAUAAAUGUGCAUAAUGUGGAAAUGAACAGAUUUUGUUUUUAUUUAUUCCUACAGCUUCUGCAGGUAAAGUUAUAGGAUGUGGAGGAAUUUAGUCUCACAAUCACAGACAAUAAAUAUUAUCUGAAAGUCGGGUUAUUGUUGUUUAUCAGCACAUUAGACAUAUUCCAGUUAAGACUCUAGAAUAUGAUUUAUGUAAAUUUACCUCAAUAAUAUGAAUGUUCGGG